CGCACCUUGCGCUCCUUGGUAUUCCGAGGAGCAUGCCUGUUUGAGUGUCAUUAAAUUCUCAACCCCUCCAGCUUUUGCGAGUUGUGAUGGGGCUUGGAUGUUGGGGGUUUGCGGGCCUUUAUUAAUAAAGGUCAGCUCUCCUGAAAUGCAUUAGCGGAACCGUUUGCAGUCCCGUCACUAGUGUGAUAAUUAUCUACACUGUGAUGAUUGCUCUCUGACUAGUUCAGCUGCUAAUCGUCCACUUGCGGACAACUUAAUGAACUUCUUGACCUCAAAUCAGGUAGGACUACCCGCUGAACUUAA
rnacentral:misc_RNA from 1 species